rnacentral:rRNA from 1 species
UCUCGGGUGACGAGUGGCGGACGGGUGAGUAAUGUCUGGGGAUCUGCCCGAUAGAGGGGGAUAACCACUGGAAACGGUGGCUAAUACCGCAUAACGUCGCAAGACCAAAGAGGGGGACCUUCGGGCCUCUCACUAUCGGAUGAACCCAGAUGGGAUUAGCUAGUAGGCGGGGUAACGGCCCACCUAGGCGACGAUCCCUAGCUGGUCUGAGAGGAUGACCAGCCACACUGGAACUGAGACACGGUCCAGACUCCUACGGGAGGCAGCAGUGGGGAAUAUUGCACAAUGGGCGCAAGCCUGAUGCAGCCAUGCCGCGUGUAUGAAGAAGGCCUUCGGGUUGUAAAGUACUUUCAGCGGGGAGGAAGGCGAUGUGGUUAAUAACCGCGUCGAUUGACGUUACCCGCAGAAGAAGCACCGGCUAACUCCGUGCCAGCAGCCGCGGUAAUACGGAGGGUGCAAGCGUUAAUCGGAAUUACUGGGCGUAAAGCGCACGCAGGCGGUCUGUUAAGUCAGAUGUGAAAUCCCCGGGCUUAACCUGGGAACUGCAUUUGAAACUGGCAGGCUUGAGUCUCGUAGAGGGGGGGUAGAAUUCCAGGUGUAGCGGUGAAAUGCGUAGAGAUCUGGAGGAAUACCGGUGGCGAAGGCGGC